rnacentral:rRNA from 1 species
CCUACGGGGGGCAGCAGUGGGGAAUAUUGGACAAUGGGCGAAAGCCUGAUCCAGCCAUGCCGCGUGUGUGAAGAAGGCCUUCGGGUUGUAAAGCACUUUCAGUGGGGAAGAAAGCCUUGGGGCUAAUACCCUCGAGGAAGGACAUCACCCACAGAAGAAGCACCGGCUAACUCCGUGCCAGCAGCCGCGGUAAUACGGAGGGUGCGAGCGUUAAUCGGAAUUACUGGGCGUAAAGCGCGCGUAGGCGGUCUGAUAAGCCGGUUGUGAAAGCCCCGGGCUCAACCUGGGAACGGCAUCCGGAACUGUCAGGCUAGAGUGCAGGAGAGGAAGGUAGAAUUCCCGGUGGAGCGGUGAAAUGCGUAGAGAUCGGGAGGAAUACCAGUGGCGAAGGCGGCCUUCUGGACUGACACUGACGCUGAGGUGCGAAAGCGUGGGUAGCAAACAGGAUUAGAUACCCGAGUAGUC